rnacentral:rRNA from 1 species
UACGGAGGGUGCAAGCGUUUAUCCGGAUUUACUGGGUUUAAAGGGUGCGUAGGUGGGUAGGUAAGUCAGUGGUGAAAUCUUCGAGCUUAACUCGGAAACUGCCAUUGAUACUAUUUAUCUUGAAUACUCUGGAGGUAAGCGGAAUAUGUCAUGUAGCGGUGAAAUGCUUAGAUAUGACAUAGAACACCAAUUGCGAAGGCAGCUUACUACAUAGUUAUUGACACUGAGGCACGAAAAGCGUGGGGGAUCAAACAGG